CAGCGUCGCCAGAAUUAUUUCGUUAAAAUCCGUAGAUUCUACGGAUUUCCCUGAUUUCCCCUCUUUUCUACGGAUUUCCCAUAUAAAUAUUAUUCCGUAGAAGCGAACAAAUCCGUUGAUCUACGGAUAAAUCCGUAGAUCUGGCAAGCCUGCGUGUAAUUUUAGCUCCUCUUGUUUGACAACUCAAUCAAAACAAAUCCGGUCAAAUUCUGUUACUAAAGUUUAUAUAUUAUUUCCGUAUUUUUCGUGAGGUUUUAUUCGAAACUAUUUAAUAAACAUAAGUGCAAUGGGUGAAGAAUUCAUGAAGGAAGGAUGGAUGAACCGCGGGAUCAACACGGCGAGGCGGCGCCGAUGAUUUCGAGGAGCCGCUGGAAAAUUGCCGGGAGUAUUAAGCAGGCGGAACGCCUGAAUGAGUUUUUAAUCAACCAUCAAUAAAUCACACCGCAAUUGCUUAAAUGGCAAAUCAUUUAACUUAAUGGCUUAAAUCAGCCGGACUGCGGGCGAAUAAAAUUUCCACCGAAUUAGGUGAGACGCCAGUUUGGCGAACAGAGAUGGUUUCGGAACACACUUGGUGGUCCCUGAUAUACUGUUUAGCGGAGGAAUACCCGAAUUGUUUAGCGCUGAAUUUCACUAGAUCAAGCUGAUCUCAGAUGCCGGGAAACUGAAAAUUUUUAUUGCUAAUUUUUUUAACCACCCGGAUGAUUGGUAGUCCGUGAUCCAUGAGUGUGCAAAAAUGAUUUGUCAUGGACAGCACACACACGUUUACAAUCGGGUGUCGGUUGAGGAACUUUCCCAACAACCUUAGGAUGGUUUAUUUAUCAUAAAACGGUUGGCCCAGGAAAUAGCAAAAUACUAAAGUUCUCCCCCCAAUCACCCAAGUUCCCCACACUGAGUGACGCUAUGAAAGGACAUUCCGUGUUGAGAGAAGAUCAUCCCCUGGUCGACCGUCAAGGCGAAUAGUUCGGCUUCCCUUCGAUCUGAGAUCUGAGUUGGACCCCACCAGUUGGAAGGAAUACAGCCCGAAAUUGGCACUGGGGGGAAGGGACCAUUGGAAGACUUGGAAGCCGUUUGGGUGCUGCCGAUAGUGGAGAACAUGUACGAGAAGCCCUAAGGAAUGGAAAACAUCUUACUAACCGAGAAAUCAGGAAUCAGAUUGAACCACACGAUAACGUGGAUGCUCGCAUCUUCCCUGAUAAAAUGGAUAGAGAUUACGAUACAUUUUCAGGUUUUCAAUUGUGCUGUUCUAUGUUGAGAAGUUUGCCAAUGCCGAACCGCACGUUGUUUGAUGCCGAAAUGCAAAGCGGUAAUGAUGGAAACGAUGAUUGAAUGGACUCCUCCGGUUCGGGUGAGGCAGAAGGGAUCAUUAUCAAAGCCGCCUGCGCCGGUUCUUGCUUGUCUGAUAGUGACGACAGGGAGUACGAUGAUGAAGCGAGCCAGAUCAAACAGUAUUUGGAAUUGCUGUGUAAAAUUCAAGAGGACAAGUCGUAUGCUAUAACUAUAUGGAACCUCUGGUUCAUGCUUAUAAAAUGUCCGGCCUGGAUAAAAUUUGGCUAAAUUGCGGCAAUCGAAACAAUCGAGCUGUCAACGGAUAUCACCUCGGCUACAUGCUAUCGCGGAUACCAUGUUCGAAAACCAAUAAUAACACAAAUACAUUUCCAGCAGUUGGCAACACGGCUAACAGACAUUUAA